rnacentral:rRNA from 1 species
AUUGAACGCUGGCGGCAUGCCUUACACAUGCAAGUCGAACGGCAGCGCGUCCUUCGGGAUGGCGGCGAGUGGCGAACGGGUGAGUAAUACAUCGGAACGUGCCCGAGAGUGGGGGAUAACGCAGCGAAAGCUGUGCUAAUACCGCAUACGAUCUCAGGAUGAAAGCAGGGGACCGCAAGGCCUUGCGCUCACGGAGCGGCCGAUGGCAGAUUAGGUAGUUGGUGGGAUAAAAGCUUACCAAGCCGACGAUCUGUAGCUGGUCUGAGAGGACGACCAGCCACACUGGGACUGAGACACGGCCCAGACUCCUACGGGAGGCAGCAGUGGGGAAUUUUGGACAAUGGGCGCAAGCCUGAUCCAGCCAUUCCGCGUGCAGGAUGAAGGCCUUCGGGUUGUAAACUGCUUUUGUACGGAACGAAAAGGCUCUGGUUAAUACCCGGGGCUCAUGACGGUACCGUAAGAAUAAGCACCGGCUAACUACGUG